CUAAAUACUCCUGACUGACCGAUAGUGAACCAGUACCGUGAGGGAAAGGCGAAAAGAACCCCGGCGAGGGGAGUGAAAAAGAACCUGAAACCGUGUACGUACAAGCAGUGGGAGCACGCUUCGGCGUGUGACUGCGUACCUUUUGUAUAAUGGGUCAGCGACUUAUAUUCUGUAGCAAGGUUAACCGAAUAGGGGAGCCGAAGGGAAACCGAGUCUUAACUGGGCGUUAAGUUGCAGGGUAUAGACCCGAAACCCGGUGAUCUAGCCAUGGGCAGGUUGAAGGUUGGGUAACACUAACUGGAGGACCGAACCGACUAAUGUUGAAAAAUUAGCGGAUGACUUGUGGCUGGGGGUGAAAGGCCAAUCAAACCGGGAGAUAGCUGGUUCUCCCCGAAAGCUAUUUAGGUAGCGCCUCGUGAAUUCAUCUCCGGGGGUAGAGCACUGUUUCGGCAAGGGGGUCAUCCCGACUUACCAACCCGAUGCAAACUGCGAAUACCGGAGAAUGUUAUCACGGGAGACACACGGCGGGUGCUAACGUCCGUCGUGAAGAGGGAAACAACCCAGACCGCCAGCUAAGGUCCCAAAGUCAUGGUUAAGUGGGAAACGAUGUGGGAAGGCCCAGACAGCCAGGAUGUUGGCUUAGAAGCAGCCAUCAUUUAAAGAAAGCGUAAUAGCUCACUGGUCGAGUCGGCCUGCGCGGAAGAUGUAACGGGGCUAAACCAUGCAC
rnacentral:rRNA from 1 species